rnacentral:rRNA from 1 species
CAGUCGAGGGGUAUAUGUCUUCGGAUAUAGAGACCGGCGCACGGGUGCGUAACGCGUAUGCAAUCUGCCUUUCACAGAGGGAUAGCCCAGAGAAAUUUGGAUUAAUACCUCAUAGUAUUAUAGGAUGGCAUCAUUUUAUAAUUAAAGUCACAACGGUGAAAGAUGAGCAUGCGUCCCAUUAGUUAGUUGGUAAGGUAACGGCUUACCAAGACUUCGAUGGGUAGGGGUCCUGAGAGGGAGAUCCCCCACACUGGUACUGAGACACGGACCAGACUCCUACGGGAGGCAGCAGUGAGGAAUAUUGGUCAAUGGGCGCAAGCCUGAACCAGCCAUGCCGCGUGCAGGAUGACGGUCCUAUGGAUUGUAAACUGCUUUUGUACGAGAAGAAACACUCCUACGUGUAGGAGCUUGACGGUAUCGUAAGAAUAAGGAUCGGCUAACUCCGUGCCAGCAGCCGCGGUAAUACGGAGGAUCCAAGUGUUAUCCGGAAUCAUUGGGUUUAAAGGGUCCGUAUGCGGUCUUGUAAGUCAGUGGUGAAAGCCCAUCGCUCAACGAUGGAACGGCCUUUGAUACUGCAGGACUUGAAAUUAC